rfam:Musca domestica strain aabys unplaced genomic scaffold Scaffold19097, whole genome shotgun sequence.
AAAAAGGAUUUACUCAAAUCCCUAAUUUCAAUGAAUGAAAACUAAU